AUUGAACGCUGGCGGCAUGCCUAACACAUGCAAGUCGAACGGGGGUAGCAAUACCCUAGUGGCGGACGGGUGAGGAAUACGUAGGAAUUUGCCCUUAAGUGGGGGAUAACCCGGGGAAACCCGGACUAAUACCGCAUGAUCUCGUGAGAGCAAAGCAGGGGACCGCAAGGCCUUGCGCUUUUGGAGAAGCCUACGUCGGAUUAGCUAGUUGGUGGGGUAAUGGCCCACCAAGGCUACGAUCCGUAACUGGUCUGAGAGGAUGAUCAGUCACACCGGUACUGAGACACGGUCCGGACUCCUACGGGAGGCAGCAGUGGGGAAUAUUGGACAAUGGGCGAAAGCCUGAUCCAGCAAUGCCGCGUGUGUGAAGAAGGCCUUCGGGUUGUAAAGCACUUUAGGCUGGAAAGAAAAAGCUUUGGCUAAUAUCCAAAGCCUUGACGAUACCAGCAGAAUAAGCACCGGCUAACUCCGUGCCAGCCGCCGCGGUAAAAC
rnacentral:rRNA from 1 species